rnacentral:rRNA from 1 species
GACGAACGCUGGCGGCGUGCUUAACACAUGCAAGUCGAACGGAAAGUCCCUGCUUUUGUGGGGUGCUCGAGUGGCGAACGGAUGAGUAACACGUGAGUAACCUGCCCUUGACUUUGGGAUAACUUCAGGAAACUGUGGCUAAUACCGGAUAGGAGCUCCUGCUGCAUGGUGGGGGUUGGAAAGUUUCGGCGGUUGGGGAUGGACUCGCGGCUUAUCAGCUGGUUGGUGGGGUAGUGGCCUACCAAGGCUUUGACGGGUAGCCGGCCUGAGAGGGUGACCGGCCACCUUGGGACUGAGGUGCGGCCGAGACUCCUACGGGAGGCAGCAGUGGGGAAUAUUGCACAAUGGGCGGAAGCCUGAUGAAGCAACGCCGCGUGCGGGAUGACGGCCUUCGGGUUGUAGACCGCUUUCGCCUGUGACGAAGCGUGAGUGACGGUAAUGGGUAAAGAAGCACCGGCUAACUACGUG